rnacentral:lncRNA from 1 species
GCGCGGCCCGCGAGCCCGCGGCGGCGGCGGCGGCACCGCUGAUGUCCUCCGUGGGCCGCCGGCUGCAGCGCCCCUGCCCCGGCGCCGGUGGGCGUGCGGCACACCCGCGCCUCUCGCCUUCCCUCGCGUCCGGGUUCCGAAGGGCCCGCCCUGCCUUUCGGAAUGGGUUCCACAGCCCCAUCCUCUGGCUCCCGGCCGGACGCAAGGAGGGGAAAAUGCAGCUGCAUCCCCGAGGGGACUGACGGGGGCCUCCACCCUCCUCGGUGGCAACCCAGGUGGUCCCCAGUUUCCUAGCCAGCAGCUGUGGCCAACCUCUGCGCGAAGCAACGGGCCACGCUGCAGGACCACGAAGCCAGGCAGCCGCGUCGACUCCUGCAGGGUGUUCUCUCCGGAGUGACUCCCGAGCUUUCCCGCUUCCCAGGCCCCUUAGAUAUCGCCUGCGCUUCAAAUUCGGAGAUUGACGGCGUCUCCGGAAUGCGUCGCAGUCCUGCGAGUUCUCCGCCAGGGGGAGAGCCGCGCGGGCUUGGGCCUGAGCGAAGACAGCCGGGCUGCAGCCCUCCAGGGGAACUGCCGAGUCCCGCCGGGGACAGCGGAGAGCCUGCGGAUUGUGAAGCCGAGGAAGGCUCGGCUUGGUUUUCCUACCCGCUCCUCAGUUCUGGUUGAUCGGAACUUAAGUGUCUUUGAGCCUAGCACAGGCCAUCCGCCCUAGAUAUGGCUCCUAACUCGAGAGGCCACCCUUUGCGGCAGGGACCAGGUGGCAAGUGCUGUGCAUUAAUGAAAAGCUGUGGGCUAGACAGGCCCCGGGAGGCCUGGGCUCUGGCGCCAGCCCCACCUGUAAUUGGCAAUGCAAUAGCUAAAUCAUUCCCCCUCUUAGAAACACAGAUUUUUCCAUAAUAAUGUUAUAAUGCACAAAGCCUUGUAGUUUGCAAAGCCCUCUCCGCACAUGUAUUCUCCAGUAAAAUGAAGAUAAGCGCUGGUUAUCCAGAUCCCUUGGGAAAUGGAUCUUUUACCACACCGUGUUUCCAUAUUAUUUUAAGCACGUCUCUAGAGAAGUCUGGGGGUGUAGCCUAAAGCAUUCUGAAAGUCUUGUUUUAGCUUUAAAAUUCAUAUGAAUUUUGCAUUGUACUUUGUAAUUUUUUUUUGCUUUAAUAAAACAAUAGCUACCUUCUCAAAAA